rnacentral:lncRNA from 1 species
GUGAACCCAUGAGCAUAUCCCAAGCCUUGGUUGGGGCGGUGGAGCACCGGUGGCGAUGGAUCGAACCACCCAAAUUCUAGGGUUUCCGGCAGGUUUGAAUGAAUUGGACUUAGGCCCAGGUAUAAAAGAUGUUCCCCUUAACUUGCUCUACAUUUCUGUAAAAUUUGAGAAUUUUUAGAAAUAGUAGAAUUUUCGAGUGAGCCAGGGCGGCGCAUAACAAGUGAGCCAAUGCCAUGUUUUUAAGCUAAUUUUGAUGUUAUAAAACCAAAUUUGAUAAGCAUUUGGUGUGAUUCACUUGUUUGAAGCUAGAUGGUGAUUGUUAGUCACUUGUAUGAAUUUCGGAAUUUGACUGAAUUUGAAUUGGUGAACUAUGAAUGGCUUGAUCCCUAUUUAGGGUAUGUAGGCAGUUUAACGAGAAGUUAGAUGCAGCCAUAAAAUAAACGAGGUUAAUUGAUCGAAAAUAUAAUAAUAUGUGACGAAAAGUGAAUUAUGGUUAUAGAUUGUGUGUGGAAUUAAGAAAUUUAAGUAAAGAAUUGUGGAUGUUGGUAGUAAACUAAACAAGAGUUUAAUUUGGGGCCUAUCACCGAUGUUAUUUUCAUAAAUGAAUAUUUUGGAGGUGGGGUGUU